CUUAUAUUUCCAACCCAACUUGAAUCACCUCGAUCCAAUGUCUGCAGCUCAAAUUAUGAUUAUUUUACCGACAGCUGCUUCUUGCUUGAGGCAGUCACUAUUUUUGACUUUUCAACAUUAUUUUCCUCCAAUUGCUCGACUUGUUCUAAAUUGAAAAUACAUGUGAAAUAUAUCAAAUAGAUACUCUUUCAAAUGUAUAAUACUCAUGCCGACAUGUAUGUAAAUACGUAUUUCAAUUAAUUGCAUUUUUAACCAUGUAUUUAUGGAAAUUGAAUUUACGGCAAGAGAAUUGAAAUUAGAGACUAACAUUAGUAUUUUUAAACAAAGUGAAUGUAAAAUGCCUUGUAAAUGAUAUAUCUUUGAAGCACUUUUAGACACUAAUCACACUCCCCAACCAAGAUAUUGCUAGUCUCUAGCAAUAAAAAUUAAAAAAUAGUUCCAAUGAAAUAGCUUGUCGCAUUUGUCUCAAGAUUUGAAAUUGCUUAUCAAAAUUCUUCUAAGGUUUG
rnacentral:lncRNA from 1 species